CCAAAAUAUCAUGGCGGCCAUUAUAAUAAAUCAGAGGAACUUGUCUCAUAAUCGAUAAUCCCCGAUCAAUUUCACUAUCCCCUUCAUUAACUAUUUUUAUACCUCCGUCAAAAUUUUUCCAUAAAAAAAAAUUUCAAAAACCUCUUCAAAUUAAAAAGUCAGGUCAAGGUGAAAUUACAUUUAGAGAAGAUUAGUUACCCAUUAAAACAAUUAAAAGAAAAACACCCAAAACUAACUAGAAAAAGGAUUUGAAAGUAAUUUUUAAAUAAAAAUUUAAAAUGAAUCUAAUUUUCGGUGUACAUAUCGCCCGUCACCCUUAUCUAAAGACAAGGUAAGUCGUAACAUAGUUGAAAUAUUGGAAAAUGUUUCAAGAUAACCUAAAAACUUAAAGUAUUUCAUUUCCAAUGAAAC
rnacentral:rRNA from 1 species